GCAAGUCCACCUCAUCUUCGUACACCUCAGCAGCAAUUUCCUCUCUGCCAGGUUUGCUCAUGUACAGAAACUGCAACACGCGGGCAAAACGUGACGCUGCAGGAUGACUAACGGGAGAAUACACCGAGAUGUUUACCUUUGGGAUGAAGAGUAGCGCGAGCGUCACAGUGAUGGUCACAUGGGUGUGUGCGAAGGAGAGCAGAAGCAUCCAAUCAGGAUGCAGAGAAGGAAACGUGAACCUGAGGGAGAACACAACAUACCAUAUGACUUCUCCAAGGAUCCUUCUAAUUGAACUUAGCUAGUCGUUAACCUGCACAGGUGGAACAUGGUGGAAAGAAGCAGCUCGUUGUGGAUAGCGAUGCCCAUGUAACGAGGCUCGUGGAAGGCUGAGGGCACCGGCCGGACUGCGGUCCACAGGGAGCUUCCCCAGCACAGGAACAGGAGCUCAGCUGUGGUAGUAGCAUAGUCCCGUUAAUCCCAACAGAUAUCUCUGCUUGGACAUAGGGACACAUUCUUAAUUGUUUAGCUGUCACAGUCACUCACCAACCGCCAUCAUGUAGUCCCAGCGGUCCAGGUAGCACAGGUUGAAGUCCUGGCCCUCUGAUGUGCUGCCUGUCACAAACACUGGAAUGUUCCGGUCGCGGUUCUGCAGAACCCCCACUGUCCAGGCGCACAGGAACCAACUGACCGUCAUCAGCAUCACUCCCAGAAUCCUCAGUAGGUGGAGGCUGGACAUGUACGGGACCCUUUGGGCUGUGCGGGAUAGGAACACUUUCAGCACCCUGCAAAGAGGGUGAGCGUUCCGUAGACGAUGGAGAAACCCAACAUUCGGACCCAGCGAAGAAGGAUACACCUGAAGGUACUGGGCCUGAAGUACAGGAUGAAGACCUGCAGAGGCCCAGAUGGAAAACUUGUAGUGACAUGUCGCAGCCGACUGAACGACACCCCACCCCUUUGGAAGAAUGACAGUAUGCUUCAUGCAAAACUGAGGCAGACUUUGCCUGGGUCCACCAGGAAACAUCAUGUCCAACAGCAGUCGGCGGACGACUGUAAUCCAGGAAUUAGAGCACAUUCGGGAUGAGAGCAUCAGCUAAAAGGCCAACGUAUCAACACUUACGGGGAAGUAGAGGAGCAGCGAGCCGAACAAGAUGAUCUCCAGCAGCAGCAGACCGGACGCCCGGAUCCUCUGAGCGGGACACGAGACGCCAUCACGUUAGCAUGUUAGCCUGUUAGCUCGCAGGCCCGCCCACUCACCCUGCUACGGCGAUGGCGGUAAGCCGCCAGCAUGCUGAUGAAGACGAGCGCCAUGAAGGUCCCCUGGACAGCCAGCACGCCCGCCCUCAGCAGCCAGUCCUCCUGCACCCGGCAGGGGGCGCCGUCCUGGCAGCGCCUGCAGUCCGGCCAACACGGCAAACAGCCAUCUUGUGGAGGUACCUGCGUCUGGAUCGGUGGCGUCAGGGUUGUAGUAUCCUUCUGUGCAGCGACAACAGUACUGACCCAGACGGAAGCCCCGCCCCUUGAUUGGCACGCACUGCAGGCAGGAAGGACAAGACUGGUGGAAGAGUGUUGCCAUGGUAACGCAGCUGACCUUUGACCUCGCAUGAAGAUCGAGGCCUGCAGGUUAUUCUGAUCUCACACACACACACACACACAUACACACACGGCAUAGCUCACUUGGUAGAGUGGCCGUACCAGCAACUUUAGAGUUCCAGGUUCGAUUCCUAGUCACUGCCGUUGUGUCCUUGGGCAAGACUCUUUUACCCACCUGCUCCCAGUGCCCACCCACUCUGGUUUAAAUGGAACUCAGAUAUUGGGUUUCACUAUGUAAAAGUGCCCAUAAGGACCAGAUGAGUCGCCCGCUGGCCUGUUCUAAAAAUAGCUCAAAUAGCAGCACUUACCAGUGAGCUGCCUCUAUUUUUUAAACUUUAUUUAUUUACUAGCAAGCUGGUCUCGCUUUGCUGGACAUUUUUAAUUCUAAGAGAGACAAAACUCAAAUAGAAUUAGAAAAUCCAAGAAAAUAUUUGAAAGACUUGGUCUUCACUUGUUUAAAUAAAUUCAUUUAUUUUUUUACUUUGCUUCUUAUAACUUUCAGAAAGACA